CAAACACACACUCACUAACAGACAUCAAACACACUCAGUAACAGACACACACAGUAACACACUCACUAGCAGACACACACCCAAUAACAGACACAUUCACUGACACACACACUAACACACACACACACACACUAACACACACAUACACUAACACGCACACACUAACACACAUACACUCACACACUCUAACACACACAUACACUAACACACAC